rnacentral:rRNA from 1 species
GACAGGGGUCUCAAGCGUUAAUCGGAAUUACUGGGCUUAAAGGGUGCGUAGGCGGCCUUGUAAGUGUCUUGUGAAAUCCCCCGGCUCAACCGGGGAACCGCGGGACAUACUGCGAGGCUCGAGGAAGGUAGAGGCCGGUGGAACGAUAGGUGGAGCGGUGGAAUGCGUAGAGAUCUAUCGGAACGCCAAAGGUGAAGACAGCCGGCUGGGCCUUUCCUGACGCUGAGGCACGAAAGCGUGGGGAGCAAACCGG